rnacentral:rRNA from 1 species
AACAGAGGUGCCAAGCGUUAGGCGGAAUCACUGGGCUUAAAGCGUGUGUAGGCGGAUUUGUAAGUACCUUGUGAAAUCCCACGGCUCAACCGUGGAACUGCUCGGUAUACUGCUUAUCUUGAGCCACUUAGGGGCUACCGGAACAAAUGGUGGAGCGGUGAAAUGCGUAGAUAUCAUUUGGAACGCCAAUGGUGAAAACAGGUAGCUGGGAGUGUGCUGACGCUGAGACACGAAAGCCAGGGGAGCAAACGGG